rnacentral:rRNA from 1 species
GCGGUAGAGAGAAGCUUGCUUCUCUUGAGAGCGGCGGACGGGUGAGUAAUGCCUAGGAAUCUGCCUGGUAGUGGGGGAUAACGUUCGGAAACGGACGCUAAUACCGCAUACGUCCUACGGGAGAAAGCAGGGGACCUUCGGGCCUUGCGCUAUCAGAUGAGCCUAGGUCGGAUUAGCUAGUUGGUGAGGUAAUGGCUCACCAAGGCGACGAUCCGUAACUGGUCUGAGAGGAUGAUCAGUCACACUGGAACUGAGACACGGUCCAGACUCCUACGGGAGGCAGCAGUGGGGAAUAUUGGACAAUGGGCGAAAGCCUGAUCCAGCCAUGCCGCGUGUGUGAAGAAGGUCUUCGGAUUGUAAAGCACUUUAAGUUGGGAGGAAGGGUUGUAGAUUAAUACUCUGCAAUUUUGACGUUACCGACAGAAUAAGCACCGGCUAACUCUGUGCCAGCAGCCGCGGUAAUACAGAGGGUGCAAGCGUUAAUCGGAAUUACUGGGCGUAAAGCGCGCGUAGGUGGUUUGUUAAGUUGGAUGUGAAAUGCCCGGGCUCAACCUGGGAACUGCAUUCAAAACUGACUGACUAGAGUAUGGUAGAGGGUGGUGGAAUUUCCUGUGUAGCGGUGAAAUGCGUAGAUAUAGGAAGGAACACCAGUGGCGAAGGCGACCACCUGGACUAAUACUGACACUGAGGUGCGAAAGCGUGGGGAGCAAACAGGAUUAGAUACCCUGGUAGUCCACGCCGUAAACGAUGUCAACUAGCCGUUGGAAGCCUUGAGCUUUUAGUGGCGCAGCUAACGCAUUAAGUUGACCGCCUGGGGGGUACGGCCGCAAGGUUAAAACUCAAAUGAAUUGACGGGGGCCCGCACAAGCG